rnacentral:tRNA from 1 species
AUUAUAUGCAUAAGAGAUUUCUUUAAAAAAUGUGAGGAGUAAAAAGUAAAAGGACUGUUGCAUUGGCCGGGAAUCGAACCCGGGCCUCCCGCGUGGCAGGCGAGAAUUCUACCACUGAACCACCAAUGCUUGUGGUGCUCAGGAGAAACUGACUUCUGGUGUUUCCUGUAUAUCAAAUACUGCAAACGUUGGAAUGUAGUGAAAGCAUACAGAGGUUGUAGUGUGAUUGAUUGAGUGUGUGGACAAUUAUCUUUAUACAGGUAAUGAGUUCAAAUGGGUGCAGGUGAUGAGUGCAGAAUAGGAGGGAUUCUUAAAGAAAAACAAACAGGUCUGAGAGAGCAAGAAUUCUUGCUGGUUGGUAGGUAAUAAAAUACUUAUUUCAUGCUAUAAAAUGCCAAUUAAUUAUUUAUAAAUCAUAUAAUAUGAUUUUCUGGAUUUUUUUAGGUUCUGUCUUUUGCAGUUUAAAGAUACCUACGAUAAAAAAUUACAGAUCUCUCCGUUUUUUGUAGGUGGGGAAACAUGCAAACUCUGCAGCAAAUCAAAUACUUAUUUUCCCCGACCGUGUAACAUAUAUAAAAAUAAUGUAUUAAACAUGUGUUAAGUAUCUCUUUCUCUCUCUCUUUCUCUUUCUCUUUCUCUGACUCUCAGGUAAAACCAAGCCCCAUAGUUAUUGAGCUGUGUGCAGGUAGCCGACCUGCAGGGCUGACUGUCCUGGUCAUCUUACCACAAGCAGUUUCUGGAGUGCCUCCAACCGGCCAUUCUGAAACCUGUCUGUGUUUCUAAAAUGUAGAAAUCCUCAGAGGACACGGGAGAGGAAAGGCAGGGCAGGCUCUGAUAGUGAAAUAAGUGAGCAAUAAAGCUAAGCUGAUGUGUUGUUGACCUGCA